AUGCGGCGUCUGGGCCAAGAUGCAGCUGCUCCUUUGUCCACAGCUGUGCUGUCCCAGAUGCAGCUGCAGGAAUCAGGCCAUGGCCUGCUGAGGCCCGUGCAGAAGCCGUCCCUCUCCUGUGCGGUCUCUGGUGACUCUGUCAGCAUGAGCAGAGUCACCAUGCCAGUGCACACCUCCAAGGACCAGUGCUCCCUGCAGCUGAACUCUGUGACCAUGGAGGACACAGCCUUGCACUACUGUGUAGGACACACUGAGGAGACCAGAGACAACAGCAAGAGCACACUUUACCUGCAGAUGAACAGCUUGAGAGUGGAGGACACGGCUGUCUAUUACUGUGCUAGAGACACAGUGCAGGAAAUCCAGUGCUCCCAAGGAGCUGCAGGUACAGUGUGA